GCCGCGGGCUCUGCCCGCUCGCCUGCUCGCCUGGUGGGGGAGAGGGGAGCGGGGCCGACACAGGGAAGAGAAGCAUGAGGUUACAUCUGUAAUCUCCCUGCAGCAGAGUCAACUGCAUAAGAAACCAAAAGACACACCUGCUCCAUGCCAGGUCUGUUCUGAAAAAUUGAGAAGAUGAUCUAUCUUCACUUCAAAAAGAAAUCUCUAAGGAGCAAGUGGACACAGCCUGCCUCCCAUAAGCUGUCUGGCUCACUCAUUUUAUUCCUGGAAAUCAGAAGUCAAUCAUUUCCUGAGAAAUGAGGAAAAAGAUGGAGGUCACAGAGACCAGUAAGAGCAAGGAGGGAGAGGAAAAAGCUGAACAUGAAACUCGAGGAAGAAACAGAAUAUGCAGAGGAAUAAAAAAAGCUGACGGAAAACUCAACAAGUGGGGACCUCCCCUGAAAUGAUAGGAAAGAAUUUAACCUCAUGGCAUAAAAACAACUCAUGAAUGGUGUUUGGAUGAAAAGGUUAUGCGGGAGUCAAAUGUUUGAAGGGGCUCAGGUACUUACUAAAAUCCUGGCCAGAAAUCUUCAUAGAAAUGUACUCAUGGUGAAGAGUUCCUUCUCACCUGCAAACCCCCUUCUACUCUGCUCAUUCAAAACUGGUUUGCAACUUGAAGCUGUGAAGGUCUUGCUACUCAAAGUGUGGUCCCUGGACAUGCUCACUGUUAGAAAUGCAGAUUCUCAGGCCCCACCCUAGACCUGAUGAGUUAGAAGCUAACCUCUGCGAACAUGGACAUUUGAGAAGCACUGCUCCAUGUCACUGAGCCCUCCCUGGAGGAAACAUGAUAUUCACCCCACGAAGACCACCUUCCUCAUGAUGCCCUCUGCCCUCCAGAAAAAUAACAUAUACACUGCCCAUGUUAUUUGAGAGAUAUUUCCUGUGUGAGUAUACACUUUUCUGGAACUGAAGACCUGUCUAUUCACACGGCCCUUAUCUGAGCAGACUUUGGGACAAGCAUUGGGGUGCAAUUAGUUUGUAUGGGCAGUGAUCUCAGGGAGCUCCAGGAGAGGGUAGUGAAGUGUGUCAUCAACGGGUGAGAAAGCUGGGGCAUCUAUCCAUCUCACCGGUCUCUCCUUGGUAGAAAACUGUACUGGGGACGUUAACUAUCCUGCACUUCCAGCCCUCCUGACUCGGGUGCAGCACACUCCUGUAGCCAGAGAAAGUUCCUAACCAGAGAAACAGUUCGCCUAUGGCGAACUGUCAUAGGCGGCCUCCAGGGUGGGUGGAGGGGACAUGGAGGGUGUUGACAGCAUCUCUCCCACAUCCUCUCCCUCUGCACAAGCAACUGGGCUGGUGGAGCUGUGGACUGAGAACAGAGGCCAGGGGCAGCUACUGCUGAACUUCCUUUGGCUGAAGAUGAAGGGAUGGGGCCUGAGAGGACCUCUUCCUAGUCUAGCACCUUCAGAGUGUAUCUCCACAGAUCAACCUGUCAGCUCAUGGAGCCCUGUCUCAGGGGGCAGCAGCUUACUAAUCUCUUCCCUCGGGUUGGCACAUCCACUUUGCUACUCCUGGGUACAUCUCAGGACUCUUCUUAAAGAACUGGUAUCCACUUCUAGGAUGAUCCUUCCUCCCUUUCUCUUUGUUGCUUCAACAGGUCAGCUCCAAUCUCCUCUUACCUAGACCAGCACAAAACGGCCUCCUGGUGGAUGCCUUGCACACACCUCUCUCCCCUGAUAUGUUCUGCAAACUGCCACAGAUGAAUCCCAAUAUGACACUUUGUUUUUGCUAAAAAGCCUUCAAAGGUUGUUAACAAGCAACAUUCUUCAUUGGUUCUUAACUGGGGGUGUGCACUGGAACCACCUGGGAGCCAGAGAUGCCACACCCAGCUGUGCAGGCUGAUCACUGCAUAGAAGACCUGGCUGCUCUCACCAAGCCCUUCACCUUGGCAUGAGUCUCUCCAAUUUGCAUAACAGUGCUGGAAAGGUGACGAUGACAAUCCUAUGAAAAGCUUUGUAAAAAAGACCCAGAUGCAGGCCCCUCUGUGUGGCCGCAGAAUCAAUGCAUGUGGCGUCGGCAUGCAUUUGCUGAAAGCUCCCCAGGUGGUUCUGAUGGACAAUCAAGUUAAAAACCCUCAAAAGUGAAACUGCAUUGAAAUUCUCUGGUGGGCUUGUUAAAGAUGCAGAUUGCAGGCCCCAGCCUCCAGAGUGGGAUUCUUUACAGCAGAAGCAGAGUCAGGAAACCUGGAUCUUGAAUCAUCUGAGGCAAGUGUUCUACACUAGCCUUUGAAACACUGGUCCCAAGAGCUAAUGUAGCCACUGCCAUUUUUGAAGUUAAGAGAUUGAGACCUAGAGUAUGUGAGAAAAAAAAUGCCUUCUCUGGGAUUCUUAUGCUGGUGAGGACUGAGGAACCCUGGUAUUAUGGUCCUCUCUGUCUUUGAGUCAGUUGUCUGGAGCCUCCUAUGUCAUGUGCCUCUGGGGCAGGGACUCAGAGAAAUGAACUCUGCAGACCAUGGCUGGCUCCAACAUGGGUGCCUACCUGCUGUGCUCCCAGAGGAAGCCCAUCUACUCGUUCAACAAGUGUUUCUUAUUUUGUCUCAAAUGGGAAACAGCUUCUACACAAUAAUUCUCAUGUGUGAGACACGUAUGUUUUCUGUUACAUCUUACAUUCCUUUGUUCAUGCUCUCAUUUAAUAAUUACUGAGUAGCCUCAGUGUCCUUUGUUGGGCCAUAUGCCUUUGUAACACAGUUCCUGCUGUCUCCAAGGAGAAGUUCCCAGCCUAGGAGGAAGAAGAAGAACUGGUUCAAGGAAAGACACUUAUCAUCUCACAUGAUGAAUGCAUGGGGGUGCUGUUGCACCAGGGGCUGAAACUGGCCUCCCUUUACCAGAGAAGCAUUGGCUGUCCCCAUUCCCACCCCACAGGUCGUAUUUUACAGCUCAUUGUUAUUACCAUUGUUUUACCUUUCAACUAACUAAAAAGUCUACUAGUUAUUUAAAUUAUGGAAUCCAAUACUGGACUACCAUAGUCAUACUAUGUACCAUACCAGUGCUUACUUUAGUGGGAAAAUUAGCUCAUCAUUUGCACACUGAUAUGGUCUGGAUUUGUGUCCCUACCCAAAUCUCAUGUUGAAUUUAAGGAGGGAUCUGGUGGAAGGUGACUGGAUCAUGGAGGUGGAUUUUCCCCUUAUUGUUCUUGUGAUAGUGAGUGAGUUCUCAUGAGAUCUGAAGGUUUAAAAGUGUGUGGCACUCCCCCACCAGCCCCCUUCUCUCCUGCCACCAUGUGAAGAAGGUUCUUGCUUCCGUUCACCUUCUGCCGUGAUUGUAAGUUUCCUGAGGCCUCCUAGUCGUGCUUCCUGUGAAGCCUGUGGAACUGUCAAUCAGUUAAACCUCUUUCUUCAUAAAUUGCCCAGUCUCGGGUAGUUCGUUAUAGCAGUGUGAAAACGGACUAAUACAAACACAUAGGUCAAAAGCUAUUACAAAUGACAGUAACAAAAAACACCAUUCAUAAACUGCCUGAUGUAGCUAAGGGUUUACUUAUUCAGAACUUCAUCAGGCUUAAAGACUGUGAAUAGGCCUUUGUGGCUGCAGUAGAACUUCUGUUCUGUCACGAACUUAUUCAACAGAUAGUGAGCUCAUCUACUGUGCCAGGUGUGGAGGUAUGUGAGUAUAGCCCUGUCCUCAGAAGCUUUUCCAUUAAAUAUCAGAUGUAAAGUAAUUGCCUUGGCAGUUGAUGUAACAGAGAAACAUAUACCAGCUUAGGGCUGAAGCUUUAGGAAAUGCCCACGAGGACAGGAAGGAGCACACAGGCUGUCUCUUAGUGUGUUCUGAUCAUGCACACAUCAAAGAAAAGCCCGAUGCCAAGAACCUCGGUGAUCAAUACGCAAUUAGAACAAGGGCAAGACAGUUUUACAAGAGCACUGAAUGACGGACCUCCUAAUA
ensembl:lncRNA ITGA9-AS1 ITGA9 antisense RNA 1